rnacentral:rRNA from 1 species
AGUGAACGCUGGCGGUAGGCCUAACACAUGCAAGUCGAGCGGCAGCACAGUAAGAGCUUGCUCUUACGGGUGGCGAGUGGCGGACGGGUGAGGAAUACAUCGGAAUCUACUUUUUCGUGGGGGAUAACGUAGGGAAACUUACGCUAAUACCGCAUACGACCUACGGGUGAAAGCAGGGGAUCUUCGGACCUUGCGCGAUUGAAUGAGCCGAUGUCGGAUUAGCUAGUUGGCGGGGUAAAGGCCCACCAAGGCGACGAUCCGUAGCUGGUCUGAGAGGAUGAUCAGCCACACUGGAACUGAGACACGGUCCAGCCUCCUACGGGAGGCAGCAGUGGGGAAUAUUGGACAAUGGGCGCAAGCCUGAUCCAGCCAUACCGCGUGGGUGAAGAAGGCCUUCGGGUUGUAAAGCCCUUUUGUUGGGAAAGAAAAGCAGCAGGUUAAUACCCCGCUGUUCUGACGGUACCCAAAGAAUAAGCACCGGCUAACUUCGUG